CUGACUGACUGACUGGGACACAGAAACAGUGGUAUGGGGGCAGGGAGGACAAGCCUUUUUUCACCUGUGAUUAAUCAUAAAAAAACGGAUCUUCCUAGAAUUAUCUCAAGAGCUGAUAUGACGCCUCAGGUACACCCUCUUAACUCUUCUCCAAUGACAUUUACCGAUAAGAGCUGUACGCAUACGAUUGGCGAGCUCCCUUGCCAAAGCCCACGAUCCAGCGAUUGAUAAGAGUUCGCUCCUCCCCUCCCCUCCCCCCUUCCUAUAGAUAACAUGGACUUAGUAACAGCCUGAAGCCCCUUAAAUGUGGCCGCCCGGUGAUACACACCCGCCAUUCCCAAGCACUUCCUCAUACAGGCUGGAGAGGCAAGGGGAAGCGACAGCAAUCGGGAAUGGAGGUUCCCCGCCCAGUGCCCUGUCGGCCGGGCAAAUCAGCGGCAACAGCUGAGAUGUGAUUCUGGAGUUCCUACGGCGUUCCCAGGCCUGUAGGAAGGGGAUCGGCCCACACACACGCUCGACGUUACUUUUUAUUAUCGUUUUAUUUACUAUAUUUUGUGUACUGUUGCUAUGAUAAUUUUGGGUUGUAUGCAGAUGUGUAUUACAGCCAAUGAUAAUUUGAUCCAUGUAUUUAUGGAGCCUGAAAAAACGGGCAUCGAAUACCGAUUUUCUUGUCGCAUUUUUUUUUUUUGUAUUACAUGUUGAACUUAUCAAAUGUAUUAUUACUCAAAUGUAUUGUCUCUUUCGAUCAGAAAUAUUAACAUUUUUUUUGUAUCUAACUAUUUAUAAGCUUUGUUAUUCGGAGCUUUAGACAAGUACAAAUAUAUUCAUUACAUUCCUAUUUGAUAAUAAAGCUAUAUAAAA